CAAUGGAUCUCUUGGUUCCGGCAUCGAUGAAGAACGCAGCGAACUGCGAUAAGUAAUGUGAAUUGCAGAAUUCAGUGAAUCAUCGAGUCUUUGAACGCACAUUGCGCCCCCUGGCAUUCCGGGGGGCAUGCCUGUCCGAGCGUCAUUGCUGCCCAUC
rnacentral:rRNA from 1 species